GAUGAACGCUGGCGGCGUGCUUAACACAUGCAAGUCGAACGAAGCACUUUGGACAGAUUCUUCGGAUGAAGCCCUUAGUGACUGAGUGGCGGACGGGUGAGUAACGCGUGGGUAACCUGCCCCAUACAGGGGGAUAACAGUUAGAAAUGGCUGCUAAUACCGCAUAAGCGCACGGUACUGCAUGGUACAGUGUGAAAAACUCCGGUGGUAUGAGAUGGACCCGCGUUGGAUUAGCUAGUUGGCAGGGUAACGGCCUACCAAGGCGACGAUCCAUAGCCGGCCUGAGAGGGUGGACGGCCACAUUGGGACUGAGACACGGCCCAGACUCCUACGGGAGGCAGCAGUGGGGAAUAUUGCACAAUGGGGGAAACCCUGAUGCAGCGACGCCGCGUGAGCGAAGAAGUAUUUCGGUAUGUAAAGCUCUAUCAGCAGGGAAGAAAAUGACGGUACCUGACUAAGAAGCCCCGGCUAACUACGUGCCAGCAGCCGCAGUAACAC
rnacentral:rRNA from 1 species